AUAUUUGUCAAGCAGAUGUGAAAUGAGGCAGAAAACUACUGGAACAAUUGGAGAAAUCUAGAAUAUGAAGUUCCAGCACAAACUUAGAUGGCUUCUAACUAUGUGAAGCACUAACAAGUGACAGAUGUGGUUGACUCAUCUCCUUCUUGCUUCGACUCUCUAAUGAGCAAUUAAAUAGCCCGAAGCAGAACAAUCAAGAGGUCUGGCAAAUCC
rnacentral:lncRNA from 1 species